rnacentral:rRNA from 1 species
GGGGUGCUCGAGUGGCGAACGGGUGAGUAACACGUGAGUAACCUGCCCUUGACUUUGGGAUAACUUCAGGAAACUGGGGCUAAUACCGGAUAGGAGCUCCUGCUGCACGGUGGGGGUUGGAAAGUUUCGGCGGUUGGGGAUGGACUCGCGGCUUAUCAGCUUGUUGGUGGGGUAGUGGCCUACCAAGGCGGCGACGGGUAGCCGGCCUGAGAGGGUGUACGGCCACAUUGGGACUGAGAUACGGCCCAG